rnacentral:rRNA from 1 species
CAGCCGCCGCGGUAAUACCGGCGGCCCGAGUGGCGGUCACUAUUAUUGGGCUUAAAGCGUCCGUAGCCGGGUUGGGAAGUCCUCCGGGAAAUCUGGCCGCUUAACGGUCAGAAUGCCGGAGGAUACUCCCAGCCUAGGGGGCGGGAGAGGCCGAGGGGAUUCCCGGGGUAGGGGUGAAAUCCUAUAAUCCCGGGAGGACCACCUGUGGCGAAGGCGCUCGGCUGGAACGCGUCCGACGGUGAGGGACGAAGGCCAGGGGAGCAAACCGGAUUAGAUACCCGGGUAGUCCUGGCUGUAAACGAUGCGGACUUUGUGUCGGACAAGCUAUGAGCUUGUCCGGUGCCGGAGGGAAACCGUUAAGUCCGCCGCCUGGGGAGUACGGCCGCAAGGCUGAAACUUAAAGGAAUUGGCGGG